AGGGAGGGAGGGAGCAGCAUCUGUGAAGGCUGCCAUAGAAACCACAGGUGCUCUGUCUUCUCCUUCCAG
ensembl:miRNA Mir6929 microRNA 6929